rnacentral:lncRNA from 1 species
UUAAUAUAUUAGGUAACCGAUAAAUAGUGUUUCGGAUUAAAAUAUUUUAAAUUUUAAUUAAGUGUAAAUUAAUAUACAAUGUAUUUCCUAUAUAUAUAUAUAUAUAUAAUUGAGCAUUUGAACUCACGUCCGUUACUCUACUAUUGUCACUGGCCAUCACCGACUCACCGUCCAAUCUCUUCAUUUUUUUUAAAAACGUUUAUGUUGUGAUUUUGAAAGAAUAGUAUCACUCGUGGCAAUACUUUUUCUUCUAUUUCAAAAUAGAAGAAAUUGAAUCAGAUUCGAUCUUGAUCAUAGUUUAACUAUUUAAAACUGCUCAAACUAAAAAGAAAUUACCAUUGAACUACUCUAAUAAGUAAUAACUAAGUCAUCGAUAGUACUCUUGUUUAUUUAUAUGUGGUAAAAUGAUCGGAUUUUCCUUUCGAAAUU